rnacentral:rRNA from 1 species
AGUGAACGCUGGCGGCAUGCCUAACACAUGCAAGUCGAACGAACGCACGGGAAGCUCUCGCCUCUGCCGGUGGCGGCGGACGGGCGAGUAAGAAGUACAUCACAUUCCACUUUGUCUGGGGGAACUUCGGGGAGCCACAGCCGCUGAUACCGCAUACAUUCUACGGGAUAAAGCAAUAGUUCUAGGGACCUUUCCUGUCUCUUUUAGAUGAUGCCGCAUUAGCUAGUUGGCGUGGUAAGGGCCCACCAAGGCAACGAUGCGUAGCUGAUCUGAGAGGAUGAUCAGCCACACUGGAACUGAGACACGGUCCAGACUCCUACGGGAGGCAGCAGUGGGGAAUAUUGGACAAUGGGCGCAAGCUUGAUCCAGCAAUACCGCGUGAGUGAAGAAGGUCUUCGGGUUGUAAAGCCCUUUUGUUGGGAAAGAAAAGCAGUAGGUUAAUCCCCCGCUGUUCUGACGGUACCCAAAGAAUAAGCAACGGCUAACUUCGUG